GAUGAACGCUGGCGGCGUGCCUAAUACAUGCAAGUCGAGCGAACAGACGAGGAGCUUGCUCCUCUGACGUUAGCGGCGGACGGGUGAGUAACACGUGGAUAACCUACCUAUAAGACUGGGAUAACUUCGGGAAACCGGAGCUAAUACCGGAUAAUAUAUUGAACCGCAUGGUUCAAUAGUGAAAGACGGUUUUGCUGUCACUUAUAGAUGGAUCCGCGCCGCAUUAGCUAGUUGGUAAGGUAACGGCUUACCAAGGCAACGAUGCGUAGCCGACCUGAGAGGGUGAUCGGCCACACUGGAACUGAGACACGGUCCAGACUCCUACGGGAGGCAGCAGUAGGGAAUCUUCCGCAAUGGGCGAAAGCCUGACGGAGCAACGCCGCGUGAGUGAUGAAGGUCUUCGGAUCGUAAAACUCUGUCAUGAGGGAAGAACAAAUGUGUAAGUAACUAUGCACGUCUUGACGGUACCUAAUCAGAAAGCCACGGCUAACUACGUG
rnacentral:rRNA from 1 species